rnacentral:rRNA from 1 species
CCUGGUUGAUCCUGCCAGUAGUCAUAUGCUUGUCUCAAAGAUUAAGCCAUGCAUGUGUAAGCACACACUGUUUUAAAAGUGAAGCCGCGAAUGGCUCAUUACAACAGCCACAGUUUAUUAGAACUUACAUACAUGGAUAACUGUGGUAAUUCUAGAGCUAAUACAUGCUAAAAAUCCCGACUGUUUGGAAGGGAUGUAUUUAUUAGAUAAAAAAUCAAUGCUUUUCGGAGCUCUUUGAUGAUUCAUAAUAACUUUUCGAAUCGCAUGGCCUUGUGCUGGCGAUGGUUCAUUCAAAUUUCUGCCCUAUCAACUUUCGAUGGUAGGAUAGUGGCCUACCAUGGUUUCAACGGGUAACGGGGAAUAAGGGUUCGAUUCCGGAGAGGGAGCCUGAGAAACGGCUACCACAUCCAAGGAAGGCAGCAGGCGCGCAAAUUACCCACUCCCAGCUUGGGGAGGUAGUGACGAAAAAUAACGAGACGAUUCUCGUUUGAGAAACGUUAUCGAAAUGAGUACGCUUUACACACGCUAACGAGUAGCAAUUGGAGGGCAAGUCUGGUGCCAGCAGCCGCGGUAAUUCCAGCUCCAAUAGCGUAUAUUAAAGUUGCUGCGGUUAAAACGCUCGUAGUUGAAUUGUGGUCUUAGACAACAGUCCCCCUAUAUAGGUGUGGCACGGUUGCUCGAGAUCUUCAUUCGUGGUUGCUGUUGUUGCUCUUCAUUGAGUGUCAAUGGUGCCUCGAGAUUUUACUUUGAAAAAAUUAGAGUGCUCAAAGCAGGUUGUGAUGCCUGAAUAAUGGUGCAUGGAAUAAUAGAAUACGAUCUCGGUUCUAUUUUGUUGGUUUUCGAACCGGAGAUAAUGAUUGAAAGGAACAGACGGGGGCAUUCGUAUUGCUGCGUUAGAGGUGAAAUUCUUGGAUCGCAGCAAGAUGAACAAUUGCGAAAGCAUUUGCCAAGAAUGUUUUCAUUAAUCAAGAACGAAAGUUAGAGGUUCGAAGGCGAUCAGAUACCGCCCUAGUUCUAACGGUAAACUAUGCCAACCAGCGAUUCGCCGAAGUUCAUUUAAGACUCGGCGAGCAGCUUCCGGGAAACCAAAGUGUUUCGGUUCCGGGGGAAGUAUGGUUGCAAAGCUGAAACUUAAAGGAAUUGACGGAAGGGCACCACCAGGAGUGGAGCCUGCGGCUUAAUUUGACCCAACACGGGAAAACUCACCCGGCCCGGACACUGAAAGGAUUGACAGAUUGACAGCUCUUUCUUGAUUCAGUGGGUAGUGGUGCAUGGCCGUUCUUAGUUGGUGGAGCGAUUUGUCUGGUUAAUUCCGAUAACGAACGAGACUCUACCCUAUUAAAUAGUGACAGUAUUGCAUAUUCUGUGCUGAUCACUUCUUAGAGGGACUGGCAAAUUGAAAGCUGCACGAAAAAGAGCAAUAACAGGUCUGUGAUGCCCUUCGAUGUCCGGGGCUGCACGCGCGCUACAAUGAAAGCGUCAACGUGAGUUACGUCCUUACCUGAAAAGGUUUGGCAAUCGAUUGAAACGUUUUCUUGAAUGGAAUAGGGAAUUGCAAUUGUUUCCCUUGAACGAGGAAUUCCCAGUAAGCGUGAGUCAUUAGCUCGCGUUGAUUACGUCCCUGCCCUUUGUACACACCGCCCGUCGCUACUACCGAUUGAAUGGCUUAGUGAGGCCUCCGGAUUGGUUUAAAGAAGGGGGCAACUCCAUCUUGGAACCGAAAAGCUGGUCAAACUUGGUCAUUUAGAGGAAGUAAAAGUCGUAACAAGGUUUCCGUAGGUGAACCUGCGGAAGGAUCA